UACAGAGGUCUCAAGCGUUGUUCGGAUUCAUUGGGCGUAAAGGGUGCGUAGGCGGCGCGGUAAGUCGGGUGUGAAAUCUCGGAGCUUAACUCCGAAACUGCAUUCGAUACUGCCGUGCUUGAGGACUGGAGGGGAGACUGGAAUUCUCGGUGUAGCAGUGAAAUGCGUAGAUAUCGAGAGGAACACCAGUGGCGAAGGCGAGUCUCUGGACAUUUCCUGACGCUGAGGCACGAAAGCCAGGGGAGCAAACGGG
rnacentral:rRNA from 1 species